ensembl:lncRNA novel transcript
GGGAGGCGGAUGCGGUGCGGUGAGAGGCGCGAGCAGUGCUUGUCCCGCUGCGCAUCCCCGCAGGUGGGACAGGUGUAGUCUGAAAAUACAGCCUGUUGAGAAAAUGCAUCUAGGUGAAAGACUUGAAAAAACUAUGACCAUGUUGAAGUCAGCUAUUAUUUUCAGGAUCAAACCUCUUCAAUUCCAGAUUUUUGCUGAAGAUCAACUCAUCAUAGCUUUAAAGGAAGGCUUGACAGGGGUCAUUUCUACAAAUAUUUAAUUAUACAAUAUACUCCAUAACCUUUCCAAGUGAGAAUGCAGCAGAGUGGAAAAACUCUUUAAACCAUGUGGUUUGCAGAGAUUGUCCUUGCCGUUAUUCCUGAAAGAAGUUGACUCUCACACUGAUAGCCUUUUUAAAAGACCAGCUGAUAAUAUUUGGUCUUUACUAAAGAAAUUUAAUUCCACACAAAUUCUGCAAUGGCCCCAGAACACAAGGAAUGUCAAAUAGGAUGAUAUAGUCGCUUUGCUAGGCAUCCAUACUGUGGAAAAGCUGGAGCAAACUCUGGAGUUAUGUUGACAACAUGACUUGAAUGAAAAGGAAGUAUUUCAAAAAUAAUAUGACAACUGUGUGACUACAAUGAGAAGAUAUACUUAUGACAUGGCUUAAAAUAUACAAGUUAAACAUUACAUGGGCGAUCAAGAUUUGUUGGAUAUCCUGUUUUUUCAUAAUCCAGAAAGCCUUUUUGUCUUUCCGUGUCAAUGGAAGUGUCGUCCAGAUCAUUGUCUAUAUGGAAGCAGUUGCCAAGAAGCAGGAGAAGGAAUCUUUAUUUUUCACGGGAACAGAGGUGUUUACCAUGAUGAUAAGCAACCAGCAUUUAGAGCUGUUUAUGAAGCACUGAGAAAUUGUUCUUUUAAGAUGACAAUGUUUAUUCAUUAAUAAAACCUUUAGAAUUGGAACUACAAAAAACAGUGCAUACAUACCGUGGAAAAAUUUACUAAAUAUUUAUCAAACAAUUAGCAAAAACAUAAGAGAUCGCUAUGUCAGAUCACCAAAGGAAAGGUGAUUCUUGUUGCUUGCUACAUCAAAUGGAUUAAAAGAACAAAGCAUCGGAGGAUAAAUAUGAAGGAACUGUCUUGGGUGAAGCGUUAAGGCAGGAAUUAUUCAUCUACAGAAUAUUUUUUUUCCUAAAGAGGUUAAAUGAGCAGUAUUUUCAGGUAAUGAAGAAUAAGUUAAAAUCUUGGGCUUCAACAAAGAAAAAUUUUUGGCCUCUGAUGUUGUGUAAUGUUACUUACUAUCAUUCCAGUAUUGAUGAAAAUAUUAUUGAAUGGUUUUAGCCUGCAAACUUCUGUUGACUCAUACUCUCAAGAGUGGUGGGGCUGUGAAAAUGAAGAAAAUGUACCUCAAACACAGUGCAAACACUCAGGCAAAAGGCUUUUACAUCAAAUAUUGAUAAUGAUAAUAAUAAUGAACACAUGUUGAGCACUUACCAUGUCUCAAGCACUGCUCUAGAGCUUCCCAUGAAAGAACCCCUCUAAUCUUCAGAACAACCCUGUGAGGAGCUGCUGUUAAAUGAACACCUUGAUAUCUUCAUUCUUGGAGAGAAAUGAGCCAAGGAGGAAGACCAUCUAAAAAAUACCACUAGACAAUUUGUGCUCACUGGAGUGGUAUCUGCUGGGCAAAAGGUCUUUAGAAUGACUCGUGGAUUUUCUGGCAAGUGGCAAACCACACAAGUGCUAUGUCAGGCCAGGAAGACAGGUGCAGCCCUGUCAGUGUCAAAGAAGAACACUGGUAGCAGAAGAGCUAAGAGUGAAUGAAAAUUGAAUUAUCUUUAUUUCUAGGACUUGUCUAUUGAGAAACAACAGUGCUGGCAACCAUUUACUACCAACAAGAGGCAGUUCCAAGAGAAGAAUAUAAAAUAUGCUCUGCUCAAUCCCACAAAACUCAGAGUGUCUCACAAUGGCCAAUUUCUUAUUUUUACCCUGUCCAGAGACAAGGAAGGAUGUAUCAGGGAGCUGCUAGCCUCUGCGAUGAAUAACUUGAGUCAGGCUGCAACAUGUGAAAGAAUUCAGCUGAUCAGGAUUUAUAACACUAGCUGGAUUUUUUGCUUUCUUUGGGGUUCAUGAAGCGUGGUGUUGUGAGAUACCACAGGAUUCCCAGAAUAAAGUUACAUACCUAUUUCUCUUCCUUAUUUUUAUUUUUUUGGCACGUUCAUACCAUUUUAUUACCAACAUCGUUGGCAUCCCUGAGUAUGAGAGUUCAGAAGAAACUUAGAGGCUAUUGUCUGAUUCAAUCCUUGCAGCUUACAAAAAGAAAUGUGGGGAGCAGUCACUGUGUGACUAGCCUGAGGUCACUCAGGAAGUUAGAGGCAGAACUGCAGCCAGGGUCACCUCUCUUUACUGCUACUAGUGUGCUCUUUCUACUGCACCCUGAUCAUAAAACAUCUCCCAACCCAGGAACAAGGUCUACCGCAUAGGUGGUCACAGCAGCAUGAUCACUAUCUCAGUCAUCUGUACUCCUCCUUUGCUUUGACCAAAGACACAGGAAGGGACCUUUUGCCCCACAUAAAACACCUCUCAGAGGCUUGGCAACAACAACAGAUAAUAGAGAGCAUUGACCUAAGACCAACAUUUCAACCAUGGUGUCAAAACAAUAUUUUAUUUCAGCAAAGAAAAACUAUGUCACAAGUGGAUUAUUAUUACUAAUAAUCAGACUAGUGGUACUUGCGAAUGACUUGGUUUCAUACUCACACUUGGACAACUAUGCACACUGAGUAUAACUGACCUUAUGAGAACAUCAUUCUCACUAAGAUUAUGAUGUGCUUUCUCACGUGAGAACUGUACAUAAUAUUGUGUGUACCCUUGGGAGGAUGUCCUGCCUGUGAUGUUGUCUUUCAGGGGAAGAAGAAUGGUUGAGAAUUGAGGGUAUAUUAAACAUUUACUCCUCCAGAUUUUUCAAGAUUUCUGUUAAGCCAGAUCAGAAGAAAGCCAUCUAUUUGGAUUGCAUCACUCUAACCUGGAAAUACCAAUAUUUUCUAAGCAUGGCAAGUGUUUCCAAGCAUUCAGAAGUGGAGAGUGUGGGAAAUCCACUGCAGAAUGAGGUCUGCUUGUCAUCCUCUCAGUCUCAACUGCUCUCCCUCCUUCAUCGCUCUCUGUUUCAUUGAUAUAGAAAUUUAGAUCUGUAAGGACCAUCAGUGUGGUGAAGGUCACAUGGUAAGUUAAUUACAGAAUCAAAUUUUUCCCUUUCAUUUCAAUCUGUUUUUAAGUUUUACAUGAUUCCACUUUCAGGAAAAAGCAAUUAAAAUACAGACUGACUUUGGUAAGAGUGAUAUAUAUUUUUAUGUUUCAGACCAGCAUGUUGUUUCAUGCUGAUGUUAAAAGAUAAUGGUUGAUAUCAGAUAAAUACCCACACAUACACACAAACACAAACUAACUUGGGGUCCAAUAAAAUAAGACUGGGUUGUUCACAUAUUUUUCCAUUAGUGCAAAUAUUUUAAAGAGAUAAUUUUCUUUGAUAAAA